GACGAACCGUACGAACGUUAUUCGGAAUCACUGGGCUUAAAGGGUGCGUAGGCUGCGCGGAAAGUUGGGUGUGAAAUCCCUCGGCUCAACCGAGGAACUGCGCCCAAAACUGCCGUGCUCGAGGGAGACAGAGGUGAGCGGAACUUAGGGUGGAGCGGUGAAAUGCGUUGAUAUCCUAAGGAACACCGGUGGCGAAAGCGGCUCACUGGGUCUCUUCUGACGCUGAGGCACGAAAAGCUAGGGUAGCGAACGGG
rnacentral:rRNA from 1 species